AGAGUUUGAUCCUGGCUCAGGACGAACGCUGGCGGCGUGCGUAACACAUGCAAGUCGAACGAGAGAGUGAGAGAAGCUUGCUUUUCUUACAAUCGAGUGGCAAACGGGUGAGUAACGCGUAAACAACCUGCCCCGCAGAUGGGGACAACAGCUGGAAACGGCUGCUAAUACCGAAUACGCUCCUCUUAGCGCAUGGUAAGAGGAAGAAAGGGUGGCCUCUGGAACAAGCUACCGCUGUGGGAGGGGUUUGCGUCUGAUUAGCUGGUUGGAGGGGUAACGGCCCACCAAGGCGACGAUCAGUAGCCGGUCUGAGAGGAUGAACGGCCACAUUGGAACUGAGACACGGUCCAGACUCCUACGGGAGGCAGCAGUGGGGAAUCUUCCGCAAUGGGCGAAAGCCUGACGGAGCAACGCCGCGUGAGUGAAGACGGCCUUCGGGUUGUAAAGUUCUGUUAUAGGGGACGAACGGCCGGGUAGCGAAGAGGUAGCCGGCAUGACGGUACCGUAAGAGAAAGCCACGGCUAACUACGUGCCAGCAGCCGCGGUAAUACGUAGGUGGCAAGCGUUGUCCGGAAUGAUUGGGCGUAAAGGGCGCGCAGGCGGCUGUGUAAGUCUGUCCAGAAAGUGCGGGGCUAAACCCCGUGAGAGGAUGGAAACUGGACAGCUGAGAGUGUCGGAGAGGAAAGCGGAAUUCCUAGUGUAGCGGUGAAAUGCGUAGAUAUUAGGAGGAACACCGGUGGCGAAAGCGGCUUUCUGGCCGACAACUGACGCUGAGGCGCGAAAGCCAGGGAAGCAAACGGGAUUAGAUACCCCGGUAGUCCUGGCCGUAACGAUGGGUACUAGUGUAGGAGGUAUCGACCCCUCCUGUGCCGGAGUUAACGCAAUAAGUACCCCGCUGGGGAGUACAGACGCAAGGCUGAAACUCAAAGGAAUUGACGGGGCCCGCACAAGCGGUGGAGUUAUGUGGUUUAUUUCGACGCCACGUCGAGAUACUUAUCAAGGCC
rnacentral:rRNA from 1 species